UGAGGCGGCAUUUUAUGAGGAGAGUUUAUUCGUUUGCUCAGGAGAAUGUAUAAACCGCUUAAUAAUAAUAUAAACCCUCUAAGCGGGGGACAUUAAAGCAAAAAGACUUAUCAAUGAAAAACAGAUAAAAUGAGCUAAUCUUCACACACAUAUACAGUAUAUAUAUGCCUGGAUAGGCUUUCACAUACUAGCUAGCGUAUGUUACACAGUUACUAAGUUCAGUGUUGGGGUAAUUUAUUUUGGAAGGUGGAUUUUGGGGGAAUUUUUAGUCACACAAAACAACCCUCACUCACAAAUCUUGCCCCACCCCAUUCUAACUGGGCAAUAGCAGGCUCCUCUCCUGCACACAGGUUUUUUGGGUGUUUUCCUGACUGCUAAAGGAUCCUUGAGAAUCCUCUGCUUGAGACUCUGGAAAGCUAUGCAGAACGAACAGUUCUGGACAGCAGACCAAUGGCCUGAAUGAGCAUACAGACAGCUUUAUAGAAAGUACGGUUAUGCCACAAUCUGCCAACCUUUAACAUGGUGCAAAACUCACUGCUGUUGCUGCUUUGGUGCCACUAACAUGGCUACUGGAAUGCGUCACUGAAGUACUGUGGACUGUUCUUUCUAUCCCAGGAAAGGCUGGCAGUGAAGCUGAAUCAGGAGGAGGAGGAAGGAAAGCAUGUUAAGUAUUUGUGUAGGAGGAGGGAAAAAGAACUUCCCAGAGACGUCUGCUUUGUUAAAGGCCAACUAGACAUUGCAGUCCUUCAGCUGGCACAGUAAUUUGCACUUCUGAAACCCAAAGCACCCUAUUUCAAAGAUGAUGAGAUACAUUAGACUACUGCAAUGCACUUUGCAUGGGGCUACACUUGAAAAAGUGUCUGGAAACAACUUUAGUGCAGAUUGCCACUGCCUGGCUGUUGUAUGGAAUAGUAAGUGGGGAAUCGUAUCAACCCCAUUCUCAGAGCUGGCUGUUGGUUAAAGGGAUCAUGACUAGUGUACAACGCUCUACAUUACUUGGGACUAUAGUACUUGAAGGAGUAAAAUCCAGCCCAGAGUUUGCAAUCAGAGGAAGAGGCCCUGUUCAAUAUCCCAUCGGUGAGAGUGACAAGGAGGAUAGCAGAAUUAGCAGGGUGUUCCUGAUGGCGGUGCCCUGUUUAUGGAAACCCCUCCCAGGGGAAACCAGGCAAGCCCCCACUCUGGUCACAAUCACAUGAAUUUUAAAAACUCUUUUUAUUUGCCCAGACCUUUCAGAGGUUGUUUUGUGAUACAUUUCUGCAUUGAAAGUAUUAACAGAUGUCAUUUUAUGCUGUUUUGAUUUUUGUUUUAACUUCCAUUAUGAUUCAUAUUUUUAUGUCAUUAGUUGUCUUGGGCUCCCUUUUGGGAGGAAAAACUGACUAUAAAUUUGAUGAAGUAAAAUUACACUUCAUUCCCAGUUAACUAAACACUGCUUAUUAGAACAUCAUAUGUAAUAAAUGGGGACCCUGAUCCAUCUAGGACACGGUUGAAGAACCCCAGGAGCAGAACAUGGCCCUCUAAGUCUGUCUGGUCCUUGUGAUUCUCCUAAGGCUACAACCCCUUCCCAGCCACAGCUACAACUGUGCCAGCUUUGCAUCUCCCUUGAGUGGUUUUGCUUGGCUGGAAUGUGUCCUUGAACUCGUGAUAAUCAUGAGCACAACCAGGAUUUUUGUUAGGGGGGGCAGACUUUUGUUAGGUGGCACAACCUCAUAUUUUUAUUGAAUUGUAGUGGUUUUUUAGUGAUGGGGGCAGCUGCCCCGCCCCGUUCCCCCCUUGGCCAUGACCAUGCUGAUAAUGCAUCUUGCUCGCUUAGAUGGAAGACAGAAGUGUGCGUGUGUGAUUGUGUGUAGAAACUAGCCUGUGGUGAAAAGAUGAUGUUUACAUUCAUUGCUCUACCCCAUUUGCCUCUGCCCCUCAUCUAGCACUGUUGUGUGUGCCCCCGCCCCACCAAGUUGCCCAGAAGGGAAUGAAACUCUGCAGCUGAAAAUGGUUCUCUACCUCUGAUCUCGGAGUUGAUGGAUUUCAGAAGCAUUGUUUACUGCAGUUUUGCCAAGUGGAUGAGAAAUGGGUGCCAUGUGCACAAGUACCCAUGCUGAUUUAGAGGCCAGGGCUUUUUUCUUGUUUUCUUUUGAAGCUGACAAAAAAUUGUCCUGAACCCCUCACCUACCUGGCAGCAAGUCAGUAUGUCAAGUCCAAGGUCCAAAAGUCAGGAAAUGCAGUCCAGGGUCAAUCCAAGUAGGCCAAGUCUGAAGUCCAGCAGUCAGGAUACCAUCCAGAGUCAAAGCACAAUCCCAUAGAGGCCCAUCAACAUGGGCAGUUGAGCAGACACAGCACCUCAGCUCUGCUUGCUUUUUGUACUUUACAUGUUGAUUGCAGCAUCUGGCUUGAUGAGGCAUGUGACCUUCACCUGUUCCAAGCCUAUUCCAACUGAUGAAUAACACACCUCCUCCCAGAGCUAGCGAGCCCCACCUGGCCAGCUAGUGAGCUGGGCUGUGGGCCCUUGCCUGCCUCAGCCUCCUGGAGUGCCACUCCUGCUGCUCCCUAUGCCUCAGAGCCCACCGUGUUCGUGGAGACUGGAGCCCCUCUGGCUCUGGCGAUGGGUCCUGCUGCUCUGGUUUCUGUGCAUUGACUUCCAUGUCUUCACCAUCCUCCAUCACCCUGUGAGUACAGUACUUACUUCCCCAUCCCCUGCUUGCCCUGGUAUGUCCCAGCUACACCCCCUACCAGGAUCCUCUUCUUCCUCCUUGUCCUGCCAGUUUAUGACAAAAAUGUUCAAAAGGGGUGUGAGGGCUAACUUUAGUCCCCUUCCUUACCAAACCAGCUCUGCAGCUCCCCCCCUUUAAAGGAAACUGUUGGAAUAGAACUCAUUUCUUAAAUAAGCUUAAAAACAUGCUGAAUGGAUGGUGACUGUGGUUGAUGGCAACCACUAGGUUAAAGAUGUUGCUGUAAAUUUUCAAAGUGCUUACCCUUCUACUGUAGGCACAUUUCAGUCCAGUAGUCAAAUCAGUUAUUUAUGGAGGCUCUGAAGGGUGGAAUGGAAGGGAGUGCAGCCUGUUCUUAUACUUUCUGGGUGGCAUGAACUGUCAUUAGUGUGAGAUGAUGAUGAUGAUUUUAUUUAUUAUUUAUAUUAAAUUUAUAUCCUGCCUGUCCUCCCAAACGAACCCAGGAUGGCAAACAACAAGUGAUAAAACAGUAAGAAUGUUUUCAAAACAAUUCCAGUACAGAUGCAGACUGGGAAAGACCUCCACUUAAAGGCUUGUUGAAAGAGGAAAGUCAGGCACCAAAGAGACAACAAUGACUACACCUGUCUAAUAACCAAGGGGAAGGAAUUCCAGUGGGAGUUGACUUUGAUUGCUAAGUGCAGUACCAGGCUUUCUCAAAAGAGGUCACCCUUUUACCAAAGAUGCCACUGCAGGGAUGAAUUCCAGAGGUGCUAAGUCUGUUGCAGCAAAAACAGCAAAGAGUUUUGUGGCACUGUGAAAACUAACAAAUGUAUAUUGGUGCAAGUGUGUAUGGGCCAAAGCCCAGUUCCUCAGAUGUAUAACCUCAUUGGAUAGGUAGGUUUCCUCAAACAGCAAGUGGAGAUAUUUUUACAAAGUGAGACCCAAGUGCUAACCUCUCUUCUCUCUUUGGCAAUCACUGGUAGCCAAGUAAGAUAGUAUUCCAUGAACACAGUCUUAACAGUGAUUCCGUAAGUGACUGUGGAGGCCAGUUCUAGAUCCACACAUCCUUCCACAGUGGGGACAUGGGUUUCCAGGCAGGAGUUGAUCAUGGUGAGAGUUUGCCAAACGCGCCUUCCUCUUAGCUUGUUUCUCCUUUUUGCCCUGAGUUUGUGCUUCUUCAAAGUCCACAGCACCUUUGGUAAAGGUGUUCUCCAGUUGGAGCACUCACAGGCCAGUGUUUCCCAGCUAUCUUCCCAGCUUAUACUACUUUUUUUUUUCAAUUUGCCUUGAGAGUGUCUUUAAACCUCUUUUGUUGUCCAUUGGUAUUUUGCUUUUCAUUAUUAAGUUGGGAAUAGAGUAGUUGCUUUGGAAGACGAUAAGGCAUCCGAAACUACUUUCAUCUGGUUUAUGAAUAGACAAAGCUGUAUCAUUGGUGUGCAGAAAUACCUAAAGAGUUACAAUUACUUUCUGAAGUGAGCUAAAUCACUCCUGUUCUUGUGCUAGGAGUAAGCCUGCUUUCAUAAAGACUUCCAUAUAUCCAAAAACUUGAGGUUGGUGGCAGUGCAGGGCAUCUACUUACUUCUGGGUGCAAAUCGCUUCCCAUAUGCAAAGGAAUACACAUGGGUAUAGCCUUUUUUUGCAGUUCAGUGAUUUUCAGUUUGGCAGUUAGUAGCUUUCUAAUAAUUCGUGUCUAUCACGUCAUUUUAUUGUUUUAUUUGGUUACAAUGUGGCCAGUGAUAUUAUUCACCUUGAUAUUGUACUCUUGGAUAAAGUUUAUUUCCCCGCCUGCACUUGAACAAAGCCAGCCCACACAUGCAUGUAUCUAUCAUGUGACUGCUUAGCUUAGCACUCAGCCAAUCAGAGUUUAAUAUAUCAACUGACUCUACUGAAAAGCAGUGUGUUUGAGGAAAUGUAAAGUGGUAUGAAAGUCCUGACUGUGGCAAUUGAUCUAUAAUGACUCAUGCAUACAUGCCAAAUAGUCUGAAGCUGUUGUUGAGCAAAGAAGAUUCAUGCGUGAAGUACAUUUUAAGCUUAAUAUUUAGCUUUUGUUAAUUUGGUUGUAUCCACUUUAGAACAUUUAUCAUCCUGAUUCAGCCAUCCUCCUCUUCUUGUGGUAGGGCAUAAGUGGGGAAUCUGUGGUUGAAUUUACAUCCAUAAGCCACAGCCAGCAGGAAUGGUCAAGGAUGAUGGGAGUUGUAGUUUAACAACAUUAGGAGAGCCAUAGUGCACAGUAUCAUAUGGAACGGUUAUUCUGCAAAUGUCAUUGCCUAUGGCAGGGAUGGCCAGCCUGCCGCCCUCCAGAUGUUGUUGGACUGCAACUCCCAUCACCCCUGACCAUUGGCCAUGCUCCUGGAGCUGCUGGGAGUUGGAGGUCAACAAUAUAGGAAGUACUACAGUUUUCCCAUUCCUCACUUAAAGGAUCCUGAUACAUACAUACAAAAAAAAAAAAAAAAAGGAAAUCCACAUUCAGUGCAUAGAAAAUAGUACAGGAUUCUGCUUUGUGCAAAUUAAAGAAAUGCCAUGCAAACCAACAGAGUGGAUUUAUAGAUCUGUUAUCAUAUUUCAUGGUGUCAUGUGUGCAGAAACAGACAUGCUGUUUUUUAGCUUCUCUCAAAACAGCCACCCAUAUGUUAAUGCACAUUAAAGCAUUUUUUUUCUUCGCUUUUCUUAAAAACAAUUUUUAUGUGUUGUACUUAAUUUUUUAAAAAGCAUCCUAGGCAGUGCAUUUGGUUUAAGCCUAGUAUUGUAGGCCUAUUAACCAUAUUCUCCCCAUAUGAAGCUGCCCUAUUCUGUCAGGCCAUGGGUCUACUUAGCACUGUUUAUUCUGCUCAGCAGCAGCUCUCCACAUCCCAUGCAGCAUUUUCCCCUCCCCUCUGUCCUGCUACGAGAGAUACUUUAACUGGAUAUGGUGGGCAUUGUUCCUGGGAUGUUCUGCAUGAAAAGCAUUUGCUCUCCUGCUGAGCUAUGCCUCCUCAGUUAUUAUUGGAGUGGAUCUGCGGGAAAUGUAACCGUCCAGAAUCAAGUGGUAAAAGUCCUCUGGCAUCUUCAGCAAAGCUUUAGUCAUUGAUUUUCAUUGGGAAAGAUAUCCAAUAUCACGAUUGAGAAAGACCUCUGCCCAAGAUGUUCCAAGUCAGAGUAAAGAGAAUGCAGCUAGAUGGCCCAAUGAACCAUUUCAUUAGAAGCCAACUUUGUAUGUUUAUAUUGAUUACAGAGUUCUUUGUAAAAUGCAUCUGUCUUUCACUGACUAAUUGAAACAUCCCUAUAGUCAACCAGAAAAUUAAAUUAAAUGAGAGAGGACUAGGCUUUUCAGACCUGGAAAAUAUAUCUUACACACUACACCAGAGAUCUAAAAGGUAUCCAAACAGUAGGUUUUAUUAGGAAUGCAGUGAAACAGCUUCCUUGUCUGAAAGUUGAAGGAGCUUAAUUGCAGAAGAAUAUGUGGUAGUGCAAAGCAUUAUACAGUAUUCAUUCUGCCAUUGCUCCAUAUUAAUCCUUCAAACUGUCCUAUAUUUAGAACAACUCUAAACUUAAUAACAAUUCUAGAUAAAUUAUGGCUCGCUUCUAUUGCAUGUAAGUGUAAUAUCUGAUUUGUUACUAUGCCUCUUGAAGAGUAAGCCUCUCCUUGUCACUUUGGGGUAUUCAUCUGCCAUCUCUGGUUUGUACAUGUUAAGAGAUCUGACUAGAAAUGUUUUUCUCCUGGUCUCUAAUUUUUAUCAUUAGUCCUGUUGAUUUAAAUUAUUUGGAGGAAACCAAUCCAUUCUUAUAACUUGUGCUCUUUCAAGAUUUGCAGCACCUAUACAGGUCUACCCAGAAGAAAGACUUCUUGUUUUCAAUAGGGUUUAUUCCCAGGUAAAUAAAUAUAGGAUUUCAGCUUUAGGCUGUAAUCUUAUACAUUCAUCUGGGAGUAAACCCCAUUUAAUUUAAUGGGAUAAAUUUCUGAGUAGACAUAGAAGUGUGCUGAUCAUCUAGUUGCAAACUCUGUUGGAAUUAUUGACAGCUGAGAGAUUAUAAAAUAGUUCAGCGAUGGCAAUUCAUAGAAUCAUAGAACUGUAGAGUUAGAAGGGAUCCCGAGGGUAAUCUAGUGCAACCCCCUGCAAUGUAGGAAACUCAACACACGGUCCUCCUAUCCAAACUGAAGCCAUACCAGGCCCUGCUUAGCUUUGCAAAUGUGCUAGCAAGUUUAUUGCUGCACCAAAUGAAGAUUCUGGAUCAGGCCAUAUGAGCAAAGAAGGUUACAAGAGGGUGCACAUCCAGCACCCAGAAUUGCCCAUUUCUGGAUCUGGACCUUAGACAUACUGCCAAACAUAUGACACCAGCUGUCAUACCACCUAUCAUCACGUGAAUAAGUUCAGGUGCUGUGUUUCUGCCUUAGUAGGUAAACAAUUUUGAGCCCAGCCUUCUAUAGGUUUUGGGCUACAACGCCCAGCCAGCACAGCCAAUGGGCAGGGAUGAUGGGCGUUGUAGUUCAAAACCUUUGGAGGGCACCAGGUUGCAGAAGGCUGGUCUAAGCUCAUAUAGGGGCCAUGAGUUUGGCAUAAUUUUUUACACUCAAGAGCAACUGUGCAGCCUGCUACUGUGUACAGGCUGUGUUAGACCAAGGCCAGACCCUCUUCCUUUUCUACUGUACAAAUCUUCAUCUCUUACUUUUC